rnacentral:tRNA from 1 species
CGGGACGUGGCUCAGCUUUGUAGAGUACAGCGUUCGGGACGCUGGAGUCGCUGUUUCAAAUCCAGUCAUCCCGACCA